rnacentral:sRNA from 1 species
UUGGCGUCAGUGGAAACUGAAGCCCUCAUUUUAUCUACAAAGCAAGUGCAGCAUAGGUAGUGCCAGUGUAGAUUUUGCCACACUGCCCUAUCAGGGUGCUUCAACAGUAUUCCUAUGGACCAUGUAGUAUGAAAGGAUAGCCCAUGAGCAGUUACCCAUCAGUCUUUUUCCUUGUGCUGAG